UGAGGAAUCUUGCGCAAUGGGGGAAACCCUGACGCAGCAACGCCGCGUGAGUGAGGAAGGUUUUCGAAUCGUAAAGCUCUGUCAGGUGGGAAGAAAUGUAUGGGCGUUCAUAGAUUCCAUACUUGACGGUACCACCAGAGGAAGCACCGGCUAACUCCGUGCCAGCAGCCGCGGUAAUACGGGGGGUGCAAGCGUGGUUCGGAAUCAUUGGGCGUAAAGAGCGUGUAGGCGGGUUGAUAAGUCAGAUGUGAAAGCCCUGGGCGUAACCCAGGAAGUGCAUGUGA
rnacentral:rRNA from 1 species